rnacentral:lncRNA from 1 species
UGUGAGAGUCUGGCCUGUUCCAGGCUGGGCCAGUGCAACAACUGUUUAAGCAGAACUAGUAAUAGGGCAUUUGGAGACGGUACAGAUGGGCUUGUUUGUGGAAAAACUCCCUAAGGAAACUCAGCCAGAAGCUACACAUCUAGUGUAGCCUGACAACGUAGACCUACUGUGGGCUGGCUGGUUCCCUUGGGAGUCACCAGGAAAUGUAGGUCCCAGUUGCUGGAGUUGGCUUAAAGGAUGCUUAAGGACAUAGAACAAUUGAGACAAGAUCUUGUGCAUAAACUGAAAGCUACCGUCUCCACUGAUGAUAAGAUUUUUGGUUUCUUACCCGCUGUCAGAAGAAACCAACCCUCAGGACUAGCCUAAGACCAGGCUCCUAUAAUUGUUAAACUACCUCUGUCCAGAUGAAAGAAGACCCAGAGACCCUGGUAACAAAAGGGGGAAAUUGCUGUCUUCCAUAUUGCCUGGAUAAAGAGACAGACAUCCAGGAGCCUUGGCUGUCACCCUGGAACAUACUCCU